AAUUUGUUUUUUAAUUUAAAAAUAGUAUGAAUGGGCCCACUUUUUAUAACUUUAUUAUCCUCAAACUUAAAAAUUAAAAUAUUAAUGCAAAUUUUAAUAAAAAAUUUUUAGACGAUAAGACCCUAUGAACCUUCAUAUAAAAUAAUUAGUUUUUAUCAAAAUUUAACCAUAUUUGAUUGGGGAAAUAAAUAAUUUAGUUAUUAAAAAAUAUCUAUAUUCUGUGAGCCUCAGAGAGUUUGUGAACUAGGUACUCUAGGGAUAACAGCAUAAUAGUUAGAAAAGACCAUAUUAGGAUAACUGA
rnacentral:rRNA from 1 species